UACGUAGGUGACAAGCGUUGUCCGGAUUUACUGGGCGUAAAGAGCGCGCAGGCGGCUGGGCAAGUCCGAUGUGAAAGCUUCCGGCUUAACUGGAAAAUUGCAUCGGAAACUGCUCGGCUUGAAGGUGGGAGAGGGUAGCGGAAUUCCCGGUGUAGUGGUGAAAUGCGUAGAUAUCAGGAGGAACACCGGUGGCGAAGGCGGGUCUCUGGGCCGUAACUGACGCUGGAGGAGCGGAAAGCAUGGGGAGCGAACAGG
rnacentral:rRNA from 1 species